rnacentral:rRNA from 1 species
CCUACGGGAGGCUGCAGUGAGGAAUAUUGGUCAAUGGACGAGAGUCUGAACCAGCCAAGUAGCGUGAAGGAUGACUGCCCUAUGGGUUGUAAACUUCUUUUAUAUGGGAAUAAAAUGUUCCACGUGUGGGAUUUUGUAUGGACCAUAUGAAUAAGGAUCGGCUAACUCCGUGACAGCAGCCGCGGUAAUACGGAGGAGCCGAGGGUUAUCCGGAUUUGUUGGGUGUAAAGGGAGCGGAGGUGGAUUGUUAAGUCAGUUGUGAAAGUUUGCGGCUUAAACGUAAAAUUGCAGUUGAAACUGGCAGUCUUGAGUACAGUAGAGGUAGGCGGAAUUCGUGGUGUAGCGGUGAAAUGCUUAUAUAUCACGAAGAACUCCGAUUGCGAAGGCAGUUCACUGGACUGCAACUGACACUGAGGCUCGAAAGUGUGGGUAUCAAACAGGAUUAGAUACCCUUGUAGUC